rnacentral:lncRNA from 1 species
GGCUGUGGUGCUCGUUUCCAUUCAGCCGCGCUCCACUGGCAAAAGCAAUGUAUUCAGAGCCAAGACACCAGGCUUGUCCCUGACCUGUCCCAGGAGCUCACCUGAAUCAUGCCAGUGUUUUCGUCUCUGUCUCUUCAUCUGGAGAUGGAAAUAAUGUGUCCACAUAGGAAUGUCAUGAAUCUGAGUUAUACAUCUUUUGAAGCAAAAAAGUAAAUGAUCUUUAUCCUGCAUCAAUUUAAAGAUGUUGGACAUUUACUUGAAAGCAGCUCCACAGUUCUUGCUCUGAAAACUCCCAGACUUGUCCGUGAGGACUUGUAAUAGAACAAAUGUGACAAAUAUUGGGUAG